rnacentral:lncRNA from 1 species
CAGAUAGCCAGAGGAGAUAGCCAGAGGAGAUAGCCAGAGCAGAUAGCCAGAGCAGAUAGCCAGAGCAGAUAGCCAGAGCAGAUAGCCAGAGGACGCCAGAGCAGAUAGCCAGAGGACGCCAGAGCAGAUAGCCAGAGGAGAUAGCCAGAGCAGAUAGCCAGAGGAAGCCAGAGCAGAUAGCCAGAGCAGAUAGCCAGAGGACGCCAGAGGAGAUAGCCAGAGGAAGCCAGAGCAGAUAUAGAAGUAGUAAGAAAGCAUUUGUUUUGAACAGGGUCUGGGCAAGGACACUGCACAUUACAGCACAUAUCUUAUAAUAAGAUACCGGGUAGGGAGUGGUCUAUUUCAUUGCGUUUUUCACUCAUCACGUUUAUUCCGAAAAAUGUCUGUCCUCACAUGUCUGUUUGCCUAUGGACAAACAUUAAGAUUAAGCUACGUGGUGAGUUGAUGCCUAUUCGGCAGCUAGUUAGCUUGGUUUGUAUGCGUUGCUACUUUGUAUGCGUUGUUGUUGGCAACCUUUUACUUUUACUUUUUUUUGGAACAGAUUCCUGUUGGAACGUUCCACCCCUUCAAGCCUAUCAACUCCCGAGAUUAGGCUGGUGUAACCGAUGUGAAAUGGCUAGCUAGUUAGCGGGUGCGCGCUAAUAGCGUUUCAAACGUCACUCGCUCUGAGACUUGGAGUAGUUGUUUCCCUUGCUCUGCAUGGGUAACGCUGCUUCGAGGGUGGCUGUUGUCGAUGUGUUCCUAGUUCGAGCCCAGGUAGGAGCGAGGAGAGGGACGGAAGCUAUACUGUUACACUGGCAAUACUAAUGUGCUUAUAAGAACAUCCAAUAGUCAAAGGUAUAUGAAAUACAAAUCCUAUUGAGAGAAAUAGUCCUAUAAUUCCUAUAACUACAACCUAAAACUUCUUACCUGGGAAUAUUGAAGACUCAUGUUAAAAGGAACCACCAGCUUUGAUAUGUUCUCAUAUUCUGAGCAAGGAACUUAAACAUUAGCUUUUUUACAUGGCACAUAUUGCACUUUUACUUUCUUCUCCAACACUUUGUUUUGCAUUAUUUAACCCAAAUUGAACAUGUUUCAUUAUUUAUUUGAGGCUAAAUUGAUUUUAUUGAUGUAUUAUAUUAAGUUAAAAUAAGUGUUCAUUCAGUAUUGUUGUAAUUGUCAUUAUUACAAAAAAUAAAAAUAAAUAAUCGGCCGAUUAAUCGGUAGCAGGUUUUUUUCCGGGGUCCUCCAAUAAUCGGUAUCGGAGUUGAAAAAUCAUAAUCGGUCGACCUCUACCUGUCAGUCAGCAUUUCUCUGUUAGUCUACACCUGUUGGUUAGCAUGUGAAAAAUACAAGAAAAGAUUUGAACCAAGCGCCUUGAACUGAAUAAGGAUUAUAUGAGAGUAUCGGCAUCUUGAAACAUCUAUUGACCUUCU